rnacentral:tRNA from 1 species
GCUCGCAUGGUCUAGUGGUAUGACGUCUCCUUCACACGGACAAGGUCCUCAGUUCGAUCCUGAGUGCGAGCA